UGUGCAGGAACAACUAGCUAGGACAUUAUUCCAAAAGAAAGACAAAAUCAUUGAUACAGACCCUUGUCAGACAGCUGUUUCACUUCCUUUUGAAUAAACGAAAAAUACAACAGAAGUUCUUGCUGAAAUACAAGAUAACUUCUUUUUAAUUCUGAGGCAAUAAGAGAGAGGACAGCAGAAAUCUGUUAUGAAAGAAGGGAAGAGCAAUAUGUUAGUGCCAGGGCAGCUCACAUCCAGAACCUGCAUGAACACUAUCAACUUUGAAGGUCAUGAAGGAAGCAAAAAUAAAGCGCUCUUUGAUACUAUCACAGCCUACAUGGAGAUGCUAUUUAACAGUAAGAAGCUGUCUGGAGAAAGACCAAUUAAUUUUCUUUAAAGCAAAUCCCAAAGUCUUCUAUGAGCUCUUCACAUAAAUCUAUAAACUUCACACAAAUAAAUGUGAACAGUUUCACAUUUUUCAAGAUAAAAUCUGGGGGGAAAACCUCUAAAGUUUGAAAACCCUUGAAUUCCUGUGUUAAACAAUAAGCAUUAGUCACUGGUUUCAGUUAAACCUAGCAAAACAUAUUUUAAGCAAAUGCAUCUUUGUAGCCUUUGCAGAUCAAUAUACUUGGGUUUUUCAUUUUGGUCUUUCCCUUCUCCCAACCCACUUAUG